rnacentral:SRP_RNA from 2 species
GCUGGGUGUGGUGGCACUUGCCUGUAGUCCCAGCUACUCGGGAGGCUGAGGUGGGAGAAUUGCUUGAGCCCAGGAGGUUGAGGCUGCAGUGAACCAUUAUGGCGCCACUGCACUCCAGCCUGGGCAACAGAGUGAGACCCUGUCUCAA